rnacentral:tRNA from 1 species
GCCUUCGUGGUGUAGUGGUCAGCAAGCUCGACUCGAAUUCGAGAGGUCCGUGGUUCGAGUCCUGGCGGGGGCA